rnacentral:tRNA from 1 species
GUGGGUGUGGCUCAGUGGGUAAGGGGUCUGCUGCACAAGCAUGGGGCCUGGGUUUGAUUCCUGGUACCUCCA